ensembl:lncRNA
ACCCCAUUAGACUGGGGACCCUCCUGAGGAUGGAUCCUGUGUCUCUCCCUUCAGACUGGAUGGUUCCUGAGGUCAACAUCUGUUCCUCUUCUCUCCAAUCAGGAAGUUAGAAGAGGGGGGUCUUUGCCCAGGAGGGCAGACGCAGUAAAUCUACCUUCAGAUUGGGUAGGAACUAGGACUUUCCCCUUCAAAUUGAGUAAUCCGUGAGGGAAGAGACUGAAACUUCUUUCCCCUUCACACUCGGGGGUGGAGGAAAUCUCGAAGGACCAGAUUUCCCUCAUCAUCCUGAAAAUUCUUCAGAAUGAAGACAACGGUCCCCCUUCAGACUGGGGGCUGCACAAGGAUGCAGAUGGAGCCUUCCUCUCCUUAUUCUCCCCAGGCCUCUACAAGCAAAAGGGGCUCCAUAAAGGCUGGUUACUAGGUAACCUUGAGCAAAUGACCUCACUUCCUGCCUCUUCAAGACAAAGCAAGAGUAGCUUGAAUAAAUAAGGGCACAGAAAACAAAUGUGCUUUCUCUCUCUCUCUGCCGGCUCCCUGACUUCUGGAAGCCAACAACUCCCCAAAUCCAGGAAACUCAAUGCAGUGUUCAUUCACCCCAUUGCCAACGACGUCUCCUUGCCAACCAGUCCAAAUACCUACAAGCUGGCACUCAGGGGAAAGCCUGGAAGUGCUCCAGGUAUGGGCCAGAGAAGGGCAGUGUGGAAGAUGUAGAGGACUAUAAGGGACACCCAGUCAUUCUCCUGCCUGGACCUGAGGACUUUCAGCCAUCCAGACAGAAAGACCCCCAAGUGCUACUCAUCACCCAAUUGGAAACCCAAGUAACUCAAGCCCAGCUGGAGAAGAAAUCCUCUCGACUACAUCCCAAACUAAUGGUCAUCCAGCCUCCAGAUGAACUUCAUACUUGAACUGAUGUCUUCCUAACUCCGGGCCUGACACUCUAACCAAUGUACAGCUAACUUCCCCUGGCACAUAAUUAGUUGUUUAAUAAAUGUUUGUUGAUUUCCUAGCUAUAUGAUCCUGGGCAAGUCACUUAAUUCCAAUUGCCUCAGCAAUAAAUAAAUAAAUGAAUAAAUAAAUUGAUGAAUGAGUAAAUAAAUAGAAAUCGAUAAAUGUUCAUUGAUUAGAUACUAUUUGUAAAAUUACUUAGCACCAUGUCUGGCACAUAGUAGGUGCUUAAUAAUGCUUAUUUCCUUGACUCCUCCCCUCUCCAUAACAUCCAGUUAGUCAUCCAGUUCUCGGGACUCUAACCUCCACAGUAUCUCUCUUUUCUCCCCUUCCUUCCUCUCUCCCAGUUGCCACCAUCCCAAUCCCCCCAAUCACCUCUCACCUGGAUGAGUUCAGUAGCCUCACAGAAUUAGUAUCAUAGCCUCAUAGUAUCAUACAGUGUCAGAGCUGGAAGGUAUCCUAUUGUCCAAACUCUUCAUUUUGCAGAUACUGAUAGGAGACUCACUAUUAUAUGGUGCUGAAAGAAAGAUCCAGCCUUUUAAUGUCAACCUUCUUUCUCUGUGGCUGCCUGACUGAGAAUCUCAGUUAGUUGGAAGGGACCCCUGAGACCAGCCCCGUCCUCCAGCCAGAAUUCCCCCCACAGCAUCCAGGACAAGUUAGGCUGGCUUUGAAGACCUCCAGUGAUGGGGAAUCUUCUCCCUCACCAGCUUGAGACAUCCCCUUUGGGGAGGGUGGGAUGAAGAAAAAAUUGUCCCUUACCACCAAGCCCAAGCAUUCACUCAUUCAUCUUCAUUCCACUCUCAAGGGGGCAAACCUUCCAAAUCCAAUCACUUUGUGAAAUGUCAGCCCUUGGAUUCCUUCUUACUUUCCUCUUAUAAUUAGGUUUGGCCCAGUGUUUCAGCCUGCCCAGAACCUUGAGAUCCUGACCACAUUAUCCAUCUCCCACCAAGCUCUGGGUCAUCUGCAAAGUUGAGCAGCGCAGAGUCAAUUAGUGACUCUUCAGGCUGACAUCAAAUCAUUAAGGACUGUUCUGAAUAUACCUCAUUGCUCUGUCUUUUGUUUCAGUGGGUCCUGGUCUCAGAAUCUCCUUAGGGAGUCAACUGGAUGGAGAGUUGGACCUGGAAAUAGGAAGUUCUCAUUCUUGGAGAGCUGGACCUGGAAAUAGGAAGUUCUCAUUCUUGGUCAGUGGGGCCUUUGUGACCCCACUGGGGUUUUCUGGUGGUUUGCCAUUUUUCCUUCUAGUUCAUUUUACAGAUGAGAAAACUGAGGCAAAUGGUAAAAUGACUUGCCUAGGAUCACACAGCUCUCAGCUCUUCUCUCGGGAAGACUUAGGGCACCAUGCUCUAUCCACUAUACCUUCUAGCUGAAGUCAGGAAGAUCUGAGUUCAAAUCCAGCCUCAGACACUUACUAGUUGUAGACCAUAGGUGUUUGCCUCAGUUUCUUUGACUGUAAAAAGUUGUAGGAAAGGGGUAAUAACAAGUCUUUUUCUGUGAGGUUGUCAUGAAGGUGAAAUGAGAUCAUAACUAUAAAGCAUUUAGGACAGUGCCUAAAUCUACUAUUUAUAUAGUAAAUACCAUAGAAAUGCUUAUUCCUGCCUUUCCUCCUUUUCUUUUAUACCCUUAAAUAUUAUUGCUAUCCCCCCAAGAGCUUUGUUUAUGUGGGUUAAAGCUACCAAUGCUUAUCCUAUUAGAAAUUAAAACAUCUUUGGUAUUAUAAAAAAAAUUAAAUUCACAGAUCCCCCUCCCCCCCUGAAAAGAUCUCAGUAACUAUCAGGGCUAUUAACUCUAUGCUUUUGAGGACCACUUUUCUUUCUUUUUAAAAAAAAUUAUUGAUUUAUUUUUAAAAUUCAUUACUUUAUGAAUCAUGUUGGGAGAGAGAAAUCAGAACAAAAAAGGGAAAACCUUGGGAGAGAAAUAAAAACAGAAAAAAAGAAGUAAACAUAGAUGUUUUGAUUUACAUUCAAUCUCCAUAGUUCUUUUUCUGGAUACUAAUGCCAUUUUCUAUCCAAAGUCUAUUGGGAUUACUUUGGAUCACUGAACCACCAAGUCUUUCAUAGUUGAUCAUCACACCUUCUUGCUGUUAUUGUAUACAAUAUAUUCCUUGUUCUGCUUGUUUUGCUCAGCAUCAGUUCACAUAAAUUUUUCCAGGCCUUUUUAAAAUCAGCUUGUUCAUCAUUUUUAUAGAACAAUAAUAAUCCAUUACCUUCAUAUAUCACAAUUUAUUUAGCCAUUCCCCAAUUGAUGGGCAUCUACUCAUUUUCCAAUUCUUUGUUAGCAUCAAAUAUUUUGCACAUGUGGAUCCUUUUCCCUCCUUUAUGAUUUCCUUGGGAUACAGACCCAGUAAUGGCACUGCUGGGUCAAAGGGUAUGCAGAGUUUGAUAGACCUUUGGGUAUAGUUCCAGAUUGCUCUCCAGAAUGAUUGGAUCAUUUCACAGCUCUACCAACAAUGCAUUAUUGGAUGACCACUUUUAACCUUAAUCUUUUCAUCUUUUCCAAAUUGUUUGCUAAAACCAAGUAAAUUCUAUCCAUGGUGAGCCUCUGAUCUACCAAUCUACUAAUCCAUCCAAAAAAAAAAAAUUAAGUACUGUCAGUCUAGUUUGACCUGUUCUUGAUAAAAAAAAAAAAAAAAAACCACGUGGGCCCUUUGAGAGCACUGUUUCCUUUUAUAAAUAUUUGCUAAUCAUCCCUCCUAAAGGUUGGUGCUUUUCCUCUAAGAAUAUCUCCAAUUUACCAUAUCUCAACUUUACAUAGUUAUUUGCGUGAUAUCUCCUGCAUUAAAUUGUAAGAUUCUUGAGAGCAGGGAAUACUGUAUUCUCAGUACUUAAUUAGCACAGUGCCUGACACACAGUAAAUGCUCAAUAUUUACAUUUUAGAAUUUUGCCAAGAAUCAAAGCCAGGCUCACCCUGCUUUAGUUUGCUGGAUUCAUUCUCUUCCUUUUUAAAAAACUGGAACAUUUACCUCUCUCCCAUAUUAUACCUACUUGUUUUCCAGCCUUUCAGAGGUCAAAGACAAGUAGUUCAGUAAUUAUAUCUGCCAAUUUUUUCAGUAUUGAAUAUAAAUGUGUGUAUGUAUGUAUAUGUAUACUUCUGAAGAUUAAAAGUCACAAAUCAAUCAAAAAACCAUAAAGAGACACAUAGGUAAUGUGAAUUGACAUCACCAAGGGAUAGGUGCAUGAGAGAGGGGCUGUAAAGGAUAUCAUUUCCAUGACUAGAAAGGAAGCAAGAGCUUCCUUUAUUUAACAAGAAGGAGAGUUGCCCUAUAGCCAAAGGACAGCCUACAAGUUCCAUUGGUAGCAAUCCAAUGUCCUUCUAUCUUUUCCAUGGAAAAGGAUCUGGAUCUCAUGGUCUCUAGCAUGUCAGACUGGAGGCAUCAGGAGGAUUUAGGGGAAUGCAUGGUGAAGCGAUGUACUGAGAAUGAAAAAGAGCACCUAUGCUACAAUUCUCCCUGAUGGAGGGAGAAACAUCUUGGGUGAGAUGACAGAAGGAUUCAAGCAUCCAAGUUCCUCCUAACUGUCCGGUGAGGCAGGGAAUGCAACUAUUAUCAUUCUCAUUUUACAAAUGAGGAAAGUGAAUCACAGGGAGGGAGUCGCCUUCUCCAAGGUAAGGCAAUAAGGAAGUAGAUGAGUCAGAAUUGAAAGCAAAGUCCUCUGGCCCCAACGUCAUUGUUCUUUCCAUACUGACCUAUAAGCCUCCUUAUUUAUGUACCUAUUUCUGGUGUUUUCUUCCAACCCAGUGCAGUCAGUCAUCCAUCCAUCCAUCCAUCCAUCCAUCCAACUUGCACAGAAGGUGAAACUAAUAAAUCUUAUCACGAACUGUAGGAUUUGGAACAGAAAGGGAUCUCAGAGAUCACCAAUCUAACACAUACAACCCCACUUUUAUAUAUGAAGAAUCUGAGAGUUAGGAAGGAAAGAAGGGAGGAAGGAAGGGGGAAAAGUGGGAAAGAAGGAAGGAGGGAGUCCUUUUUCAAAACCAGAUUCCCUGACUACACAUUCCAGUUCAGAUUCUGUCCUCACAGCUCUAUUCACCUUAUUCCCCUCCUGGCACAGAUUUGUUACCUACAGAUAAAGAUCAGAUUUUUUUAACUGGACAUUCCAGGCUCUCCACUGUCGGUCUCGGUCUGUUGGAUCCAGAAGGGGUCUUGUAGAUUGCCUAGUCCAGUUCCUUCAUUUUAAAGAGGAAAAAAACCGAAGCACCUUAGAGACACCCAGUGAAGUGGUGGCAAUGAUGGGAUUAGGAUCCUGAUCUCCUAAUGCUCAAACUCUUGUUUUGUUUUGUUCCUUCUGAGUCCUGCAGCUUCUUUCUGCCCAUAUCCCAAUUACUCCUCUUAACUAAGUAGAGUAGAACCUUCUGUAAUAAAAUGCUGUUUUGCUAACUCCCUAUCCUGGGCCUCUCUGUAAUAAUAACAAAAACUUAGGUUUGCAUAUCAUUUUACCUUUUACACUCCCAGGGACUGUCUCUACCCCAAAUCAUAUUCCAAUAUACAGCACUUUAGCUUGCAUGUAUUAUGACUCCUAUUUUAAAUACAAAAAACUCAAAGCUAGCUUGUGUAGCUUGGAUUGCAGAAGUUCCCCACCCUCUCCCUAGAGUAUAAGUUGCUUGAGUAAUCACUUCACUUUUAUUUUUGUAUUUUGAGUGCAUUUUGAACUCAAUUAAGUGAUAGAGCAAGAAUUCAAAUUGGGUCAUAGCUUUAGACCUGAAAGCAUCCACAGUAAGUAGCCAUAUAAUUCAAGCUUCA